AUGUCUUACACUUGGAGAGGAGCUCUGCAAUGGUGGGACGAUUGGCAACUGCGUGUCCUCGUCCUGGGCAGCCUGGGCCUUCAGUGGUUCCUCCUGCUGGCUGCCCCGAUGCGCAAGUACGCCCUCCCGCGCGUCUUGAGGACAUUCAUCUGGCUGGCGUAUAUUUCCAGCGAUCCUCUGGCAAUCUACGUGCUCGCCACCCUCUUCAAUCGCCACGCAAAGACCAGCAACUUUGGCGGUGACACCGACAUUGUCGCCGGGAUCGGGAGCGAGCAGCAGUCGAGCAUCCUGGAGGUCCUAUGGGCUCCUAUCCUUCUCAUCUACCUCGGUGGGCAGGAGGGAAUGAGUGGCUACGAGAUAGAGGACAACAAGCUGUGGGGGAGACACACCGUGACCUUGGUGUCCCAGGUGGCCGUCGCCUUGUACGCCUUCUACAAGUCGUGGCCUAGACCCAACGACCCAAAGCUAUUGGUGGUCGCGGUUCUUCUCUUCUUCGUCGGGGUCAUCAGCUUCAGCGAGAAGCCAUGGGCUCUCAAAGCUAAAGCCAAGAGACUGGCGGCUGUAUCGUCCGGGGUGCAAGUACCAAAGAAGCCUUCAAACUGGAGGGAGCGCAUGAACCAGUUUUUCUUCGGGGCGAGCCACUGCUUCACCGGCACCCGGAAGGCACAAAGUAAUUUUUCAACCAAUUUAGCUAUGUGUAAGUUGCCUGAAAAUCCAAUUUGGUCCUCCUACAUGGCGCACCUGCUGAAUUUCAAUCCCGAGAUGCUUCUGUCCGGCAGCAGGCAGCAUCUCAUCUCCGAGGCCAUGGAGGAGAUCAAGUCCUCCUUUUUGUCGAACGAGCAUGAGUUGAGCCAAAAAGAGCAACCCAAGGGGCUCAUUGCCGCCAUGGCGGAGGGUGAGCACAAGUCAGCCAAUGGAGAUGAUGACACAAGCCAAGGUUUCGUCCACAUCACAGAGGCAUGCAAGCUGGCCAAAGAGCUGUUGGAGCUGCCGGACCCUAAGACGCGGUGGAUGCUCAUGUACCGGGUGUGGCUGGGCAUGCUCUGCCACUCCGCCAGCAUGUGCAGGGGCUACCUGCACGCCAAGAGCUUGGGUGAAGGUGGCGAGUUCCUCACUUACGCCUGGCUCGUGCUCAUGCUCAAGGGGGCCAAGAGCUUGGCCGACAAGCUUCAAACGCCGCCGGAGACUCAAGCUUGUGAUUUUCUGGUAAUUCGACCAAAGUGUGCUGGAAAAAGAAACCAAAAACUUUCUGCAAUUUUCCUAGAGUAUUCUGUUCUUUCAGCAAUAGCAGGUGAUGAAGAAGAGAAAAGGUAG
rnacentral:rRNA from 1 species